rnacentral:lncRNA from 1 species
UAGGGUAUUAACAUAUUUAUAGUUAUUUAAAAUAAUUUAGCCCAUCCUACCUUUUCACUUUAAUAAGAUUUCAAGGGUUAAAAAAAACCCAUUGUCGAGGUACAUAUCUUACAGUGAAUUGGUUAUGUGGGUCAUCAAUUAAAGACUAAAACAACAACUUUUUUUCACAUUUACAGAUGUAGACAUGGGUAUUUCCACGUGGUGAACAACGACUACACCCAUUGGGAAAUGUAUGCCAUUGGAGGGAGUGCUAACCCAACCAUCAACAGCCAAGGGAACAGAUUUACUGCACCUGAAGACAGAUUCAGCAAAGAGGUGAGAACCCAAUUUAAUACUACUUAAAACCGAAAGUCCAAUCCAUUGAAGUUGAAGGUAUAGUAUUUAAUAAGAGUUGAUGAGUCAUAAUUAUUUCGUGCAGGUGACCAAGCAUGAAGAUGCACCCGAGAGUGAAUGGAAGGGCUGGAAUUGGAGAUCAGAAGGGGACCUGAUGGUGAAUGGUGCAUUUUUCACCCCGUCUGGUGCGGGCGCCUCCUCGAGCUAUGCUAAGGCUUCUAGCUUGGGUGCUAGGCCAUCUUCACUUGUG